UCCGGAACAUAACUUAAGUUCCAUGUGGCCCACAGUGUUCAACCUUCAUAGGAUGAUUGUCCAUAUUGGGUAGAAUACCCCUAUUGAUUUUGGGGUCACAAGGUCAAAUUUUCCAGAGCAUAACUUAAGUUCCAUUUGGCCCACAAUAUUCAAACUUUAUAGGAGGAUUGCUAUUUGAAGGAGGUUAUACUUUAUUUAAUUUAUGUAAUGUCUUACUAAAAAAACAA